CACGUAGGGUGCGAGCGUUGUCCGGAAUUAUUGGGCGUAAAGAGCUUGUAGGCGGUUUGUCGCGUCUGCUGUGAAAAUCCGGGGCUCAACCCCGGACUUGCAGUGGGUACGGGCAGACUAGAGUGUGGUAGGGGAGACUGGAAUUCCUGGUGUAGCGGUGGAAUGCGCAGAUAUCAGGAGGAACACCGAUGGCGAAGGCAGGUCUCUGGGCCACUACUGACGCUGAGAAGCGAAAGCAUGGGGAGCAAACAGG
rnacentral:rRNA from 1 species